CCCGACGCUAUUUUCGCCGCGGGAUGAAUUUCGAUACCCGUGAAAAAUUUUGUAGUCUGGCUUAUCAUCCUCGCCAGCAGUUUGAGGUGUAUUUUAUAAAAGAAAUGCGCGACCCUGUGUCGCGAAAGGGCGUGAACGCCCGAAUACGUCAGCCAGAUCUCGAAUUUCGACCUUGCCGCGGGGUCGCUCUGUUUUGCGAAAUUUAUAUCUUCUCUUAACCUUUUGAAAAACAUUUUUUAAUGUUAAUAUUUCUUUUCCCGGCUCUCUAUCUGGUUUAAAAUCUAUAUAUGGGUAUUUUCUAUUUGAUGCUUUUAUUUCUUCUAAUUGUAUUUUUUCCAAAGAUUUUUUUCUUGAUGUUGCUUGUUUUGAUUUUGAUGCAUUUGCACUAAAUCUUGCAAUAAAUUCUUGUAAUUCCUAAUUAACUUUGAAAAUACAGUUAUUGUAGUAUCACAUGAUAGAUAUUUCUUAAAUAAAGUUUGCACACAUAUUGCAGAUGUGGACUUUGGAAAGAUAAAAAUAUACCCAGGAAACUAUGACUUUUGGUAUGAAUCAAGUCAACUUGCAUUAAAACAAGCAAAAGAACAGAAUAAGAAUGGGGAGUGUGAUAUGGAAACAUUUUCAUACAAAGCGGUUGACGCUUCGGGAAAAGAUGUUAAGGGUGCUAUUGAAGCAGAAAGUAAAGAUGAAGCAGAGAUUAGGUAGCAUGAAGUCAGAUUUUAUGGUUGAUUUGUGAAAUGAGAACUAUGGAAAAAAGAUACUAUAUUGAUGGUAAAUGUGUUUUGAGUUAUGAUGAUGUGUUUUCUACUGAUGAAGCUGGUAUGAAUGCAUGGCGUGAAGAACUUGAUUUUUUGGGACCAGGAGAUGGUAUGAUAGAACAUAUUUGGUGUGAACAUGGAAUAGAUAAAAGAAGAUUUCCGGUUUAAGAAAAUUUAGGAAUAGCAUUGCUUCUUAUUGAACAUUAUUGGAUUUUUAACACUGAUUUGAUAAAUGGAGGCACAACACAAUGGAAAUUAAAAGCAUUUUGAUAAAAGAUACAACAAAAGAAGAACGUAUUCGUAUUAUACAGGAAGGCCUCAGUCAAUGCGGAGGGACAUGCGAUUUUUGCAAUGGCUGUGACAAUUUAGGCGGAGGUUCAGUCGAUUCCUUUUAUGAACCUUAUAUCAAUGGAGAAAAAGAACUUCGCCGGUUAAAUGAGGAAUACAGAAGCAAUUCAGGAAUGGUGAAGUAGUAAUGCAGAUAUUUGUGGAUGCAGAUGCAUGUCCUGUGGUAGGCAUUGUAGAAAAAAUGGCAGAAAAAUAUAAAAUACCAACCACCUUGUUAUGUGAUACGAACCAUGUGUUAUAUUCGGAUUACAGUGAAGUAAUUGUGGUUGGGGCCGGUGCGGAUGCUGUAGAUUAUAAGCUGAUAAGUAUUUGUCAUAAAGGUGACAUUGUAGUAUCGCAGGAUUACGGUGUUGCAGCGAUGGCACUUGGCAAGGCUGCAUAUGCUAUUCAUCAGUCCGGUAAAUGGUACACAAAUGAAAAUAUCGACAUGAUGCUUAUGGAGAGACAUCUUAACAAAAAGGCAAGACGCGGUUCUAAUAAGAAUCAUAUUAAGGGACCAAAAAAGCGUACAGAAGAAGAUGAUGUACGCUUUGCACAGUCCUUUGAAAAACUAAUACUGAUGGCAAAGUCAAAAGAAGGUGCUCAGAGUGGGACUAUUUAAGAAAAAGACAGUUACAAAGGCAUAUGAUAAAGAAAAUAAGAAACCGGUAAUCAAAGCGAGCAUAUGUAAUGGUGAGCAGGUUGCUGGUUUUAAGAACAUUCAUACAGGUAAGAUAGAAGAAGUUAUGCUGAUUAAGAACCGGGCAGACCUUGAUGCAUUCAAGAAAAUGUAUGGAAUAGAUGGAGAGAUAGAGAAGGAAUAUUGAUAUGAGCAUAUUAGGAAACAUACUUUGGUUUAUAUGUGGUGGAUUGUUGAGUGGAUUGUCGUGGGUUUUGGCAGGUUGCCUGUGGUGCAUUUCCAUAAUAGGAAUACCGAUAGGCUUACAGUGCUUUAAGUUUGCAGGUUUGGCAUUUUUUCCGUUUGGAAAAGAAGUGGUAUAUGGCGGCGGUGCAGUUAGCUUAAUUGCAAAUAUUAUCUGGCUGAUUGUAUCAGGAAUUCCUAUGGCAGUUGGACUGGGGCGGUCGCCUCCAAAAGAGUAACGGAGGCGCUCAAAGGUUGGCUCAGCACGGACGGAAAUCGUGCAAUGAGUGUAAACGUAUAAGCCAGCCUAACUGCGAGACCGACGGGUCGAGCAGUAACGAAAGUUGGAGUUAGUGAUCCGGUGGUAUGUGAGUGGAAAUGCCAUCGCUCAACGGAUAAAAGCUACCCUGGGGAUAACAGGCUGAUCUCCCCCAAGAGUCCACAUCGACGGGGAGGUUUGGCACCUCGAUGUCGGCUCAUCGCAUCCUGGGGCUGUAUUCGGUCCCAAGGGUUUGGCUGUUCGCCAAUUAAAGCGGUACGCGAGCUGGGUUCAGAACGUCGUGAGACAGUUCGGUCCCUAUCUGUCGUGGGCGUAGGAUAUUUGAAAGGAGCUGUCCCUAGUACGAGAGGACCGGGAUGGACGCACCUCUGGUGCACCAGUUGUCACGCCAGUGGCACAGCUGGGCAGCUAUGUGCGGAUCGGAUAAACGCUGAAGGCAUCUAAGCGUGAAACCGGCCUUAAGAUAAGAUAUCCCACUGAGUCAAUCAGGUAAGACCCCUUGAAGACUACAAGGUUGAUAGGCACACAGUGUAAGCGGAGUGAUCCGUUCAGCUAGCGUGUACUAAUAGGUCGAGGGCUUGACCC
rnacentral:rRNA from 1 species